CUGGCCCUGAAUCAAGGUCGGCAGUUUCCUGACGCUGCUGGUUUCAAGCAGGAGCCUAAAAAGAAGUUUUUCUAUGGUUUGUUGGCCAUUUCAGAACUUGGGCAGUGAAAUGGUCAAUUCNNNAGAAACAGCCUGAA
ensembl:snoRNA